UCGUGUUAAGGCCCCAUUGGACCAUCGCAUCAGAACAACACACCGCCGAUGAAGAGAAAUAUAGAUCGGAAGGAUCGAACAUGUAGACACAUGAACACAGUCAUACGAAGAUAGGAUCCACGUGGAUCCACUGAAGACAAAAAACCACCGAAUCCCGCGAGAUCCGGGGAAGACAAACCUUCACAUGCCCUCCGACAAUACUAGAAACACCACCUGAACAGGAACUAGACAGGGAGACACAUGCAUAUCCGCUGGCUAAUUUUUUCACUUAUGGCAAAUUAAUGCAGAGUGAAAGGAUACUUGUUGUGUUGUUGUGGGUUGGGCGCUUGUCUCACUACAAACACACAAAUAGCACGAAAUCGAGAAAAAACAAACAAAUAACGGACAAUGGGUGAGCUUAUUUCUUUGCUGAUGUGGGAUAAUGUCUCCAAAAUAAAAUAAAAUUGGUGCGUACGUCACAACUAAAUGAGCCCCAGAUCUCAAAAUAAAAUAUGUGUUUGUUAAAAGGGGACUGAUAGGUGCCGGUGCACCGGCCCAAUAGUUCGGCCGGUCAAGCGCGAGCCGUCGAAUUAAUCUUCCCUCAACCGUCAGAUCUGGUCAACGCUCGUUCUAUCCCCGGCACAGGUCGCGUCCCCGCUGGUGUCGCGUCCUCCCGGUAAAAAACGAUGGCCAUCGUUGUCCGCCAAGCCGUGCGAGAUCGCCGCCCAUCACGUCACCACCCUCUGGCUUGUCACGGCCGCCGACCUGCACUGCUAUAUUCCAGCGGAGAACACAUCUCAGCACCAAAAAAACCUUCGGUGGUCACUUGAAGCAAAAUAGAAAACUGGUUCCAGGAAAAAAAAAAGGUUCAGUUCCAGCAAAACAAUCUGAGCACCUAGGAACUCUAGUAAAAUGUUUGAAGCAAAAGUUUAUUUGGAUCCAGCAAAAAAUAACUCUGGUUCCAGCAAAACGAUUUGAGCAACUAGGAAAUCUAGUAAAAUGUUUGAAGCAAAAGUUUACCCUGGAUCCAGCGAAAAAUCACGCAGAUUCCAACAAAAAUCGUGUCAGCAACAACUCAACCUUGAAGCUCAAUCAAAACGCUGGUGGUCAGAUGAAGCAAAACCAAACACUAGUUCCAGCAAAAGAAAACUGCGGUUCCAGCAAAAACGACACGAGCAACCAGGAACUCCCGUGAACGUUUGAAGCAAAAAUUUACUCGGGUUCCAGCAAAAAAGGCUAGGCUUCCAGCAAUAAUCGCAUCGCAGGAAAAGAACCGACCUUGCAGCUCCCAAAAACGCCGUUUCCAGCUUCGACGCGCACGGAUGCAACUCCGCCGUCGAAGGGCGCAACUGAUUGCAGCACCCAAAAGCUUGUCCGCCUCGUCGCCGGCGGUGGCAGCACAACACUAACUCCAGCGCGAGGAAGCAGAGUUGUGCGGCCGCGCUGGCCGCUCGGAGUAGUCAACGCCGGGCGCCGCCGUGGCUGGCACACCACAAAUCCGGGGUGACUCACAUCGGUAAGAAACAAAAUGGUUUGAAGUGGGGGAUGGGAGUUGUGUGCCGCGCCGGCGAGGAUGCAGAUAGAGAUGAACUAGCACAGAUGUGUUCUGGGGACAGAAGAAAAAGGAGUGGAGGAGAGCGCAUCGCACGCUGACUGAAUAGGUAAGGUAGCCAAGCGGUGUGUGGGUCCAAUAAAAUGUGUU
rnacentral:lncRNA from 1 species